rnacentral:rRNA from 1 species
GGGGGGGGGGGGGGGGGGGCCGGGGGCAGGCAGGGCGGGCGGGGGCGGGGGGGCGGGGGCUGGCGGGUGGGGGGCGGGGGAGUAAUACAGCGGAGCGUGCCCGGGCGGGGGGGAGAGCGAGGCGGAAGCUUUGCUGAUACGGCAUACGAUCUACGGAUGAAAGCGGGGGAGCUUCGGACCUCGCGCGUGCGGACCGGCCGAUGGCAGAUUAGGUAGUUGGUGGGAUAGAAGCUUACCAAGCCGACGAUCUGUAGCUGGUCUGAGAGGAUGAUCAGCCACACUGGGACUGAGACACGGCCCAGACUCCUACGGGAGGCAGCAGUGGGGAAUUUUGGACAAUGGGCGAAAGCCUGAUCCAGCCAUGCCGCGUGCAGGAUGAAGGCCUUCGGGUUGUAAACUGCUUUUGUACGGAACGAAAAGCCUCUUUCUAAUAAAGAGGGGUCAUGACGGUACCGUAAGAAUAAGCACCGGCUAACUACGUG